UACGUAGGGGCAAGCGUUGUCCGGAUUCAUUGGGCGUAAAGAGCGUGUAGGCGGCCAGGUAGGUCGGUUGUGAAACUGGAGGCUCAACCUUCAGAGGUCGACCGAAACCAUCUGGCUAGAGUCCGGGAGAGGAGAGUGGAAUUCCUGGUGUAGCGGUGAAAUGCGCAGAUAUCAGGAAGAACACCCGUGGCGAAAGCGGCUCUCUGGAACGGUACUGACGCUGAGACGCGAAAGCGUGGGGAGCGAACAGG
rnacentral:rRNA from 1 species